rnacentral:rRNA from 1 species
UCGAGAGUUUGAUCCUGGCUCAGGAUGAACGCUAGCGGCAGGCUUAACACAUGCAAGUCGAGGGGUAUAGUUCUUCGGAACUAGAGACCGGCGCACGGGUGCGUAACGCGUAUGCAAUCUACCUUAUACAGGGGAAUAGCCCAGAGAAAUUUGGAUUAAUGCCCCAUAGUGUUAUUGAAUCGCAUGGUUUAAUAACUAAAGUUCCAACGGUAUAAGAUGAGCAUGCGUCCCAUUAGUUAGUUGGUAAGGUAACGGCUUACCAAGACGAUGAUGGGGUAGGGGUCCUGAGAGGGA